UUUGUUAUUGGUAUGAGCUUUCGUGUACAUGCACACUUUGUAUCUGAAGAAGUGAGCAUGCGCAUGAAAGCUCAUACCAAUAACAAA